rnacentral:rRNA from 1 species
AUUGAACGCUGGCGGCAGGCCUAACACAUGCAAGUCGAACGAGUGGCGGACGGGUGAGUAAUGUAUGGGAAACUGCCCGAUGGAGGGGGAUAACUACUGGAAACGGUGGCUAAUACCGCAUACCAUCGGAUGUACCCAGAUGGGAUUAGCUAGGUGGUGGGGUAAAGGCCCACCAAGGCGACGAUCCAUAGCUGGUCUGAGAGGAUGAUCAGGCCCACGGGAACUGAGACACGGUCCAGACUCCUACGGGAGGCAGCAGUGGGGAAUAUUGAACAAUGGGCGCAAGCCUGAUGCAGCCAUGCCGCGUGUAUGAAGAAGGUCUUCGGAUUGUAAAGGACUUUCAGCGGGGAGGCGUUACCCGCAGAAGAAGCACCGGCUAACUCCGUGCCAGCAGCCGCGGUAAUUC